rnacentral:rRNA from 1 species
UAGUAACUGCGAGUGAAGCGGGAAAAGCUCAAAUUUAAAAUCUGGCAGUCUUGAGGCUGUCCGAGUUGUAAUCUAGAGAAGUGUUAUCCACACUGGACCAUGUGUAAAUCUAAGUCUCUUGGAAUGGAGCAUCAUAGAAGGUGACAAUCCUGUCUUUGACAUGGACUACCAGUGUGAUGUGGUGCACUCUCAAAGAGUCGAGUUGUUUGGGAAUGCAGCUCAAAAUGGGUGGUAAAUUCCAUCUAAAGCUAAAUAUUGGCGAGAGACCGAUAGCGAACAAGUACCGUGAGGGAAAGAUGAAAAGGACUUUGGAAAGAGAGUUAAACAGUGCGUGAAAUUGCUGAAAGGGAAACGCUUGAAGUCAGUCAUGUUGAAUGGGAAUCAGCCCUGCAUUUCUGCUGGGUGCACUUUUCCAUUUGACAGGUCAGCAUCAGUUUUGGCCAUUAGAUAAAGGCUUAGGGAAUGUGGCAUUUUAUAAUGUGUUAUAGCCCUAGGUUGUAUGUAAUGACUGGGAUUGAGGAAUUCAGCAGAUUGUAAUAAGUGUUACAUCUGCUUAGGAUGGCUGACAUAAUGGCUUUAAUCGACCCGUCUUGAAACACGGACCAAGGAGUCUAACAUGCCUGCGAGUAUUUGGGUGGAAAACCCAUAUGCGCAAUGAAAGUGAAAGUUGAGAUCCCUGUCAUGGGGAGCACCAAUGCCCGGACUUGAAGUUUUCUGACAGUCCUGCGGUAGAGCAUGUAUGUUGGGACCCGAAAGAUGGUGAACUAUGCCUGAAUAGGGUGAAGCCAGAGGAAACUCUGGUGGAGGCUCGUAGCGAUUCUGACGUGCAAAUCGAUCGUCAAAUUUGGGUAUAGGGGCGAAAGACUAAUCGAACCAUCUAG